GAUGAAGAACGCAGCGAAAUGCGAUACGUAAUGUGAAUUGCAGAAUUCAGUGAAUCAUCAAAUCUUUGAACGCAUAUUGCGCUCUCUGGUAUUCCGGAGAGCAUGCUUGUUUGAGUAUCAGUAAACACCUCAACUCCCUUUUCUUUUUUGAAAUUGGAGCUGGACUUGAGUGAUCCCAACGCUUUCUUCCAAGAAAGUGGCGGGUUGCUUGAAAUGCAGGUGCAGCUGAACUUUUCUCUGAGCUAUAAGCAUAUCUAUUUAGUCUGCCUAAAAAACAGAUUAUUACCUUUGCUGCAGCUAACAUAAAGGAGACUAGUUCUUGUGCUGACUGAUGCAGGAUUCACAGAGACAGCUUCGGCUGACUUUGUAAACUCGAUCUCAAAUCAAGUAAGACUACCCGCUGAACUUAAGCAUAUCAAUAAGCGGAGGA
rnacentral:misc_RNA from 1 species